UUGGCGGUGGCUGCGGCGGCAGCGGCGGCGCGGGGUGGUAGUGGGUGGUCCCGCGGCCGAGCAGUCUGCCAAGACCAUGGCUGGAGGCAAAGCUGGAAAGGACAGUGGGAAGGCCAAGGCUAAAGCAGUAUCUCGCUCACAAAGAGCUGGAUUACAGUUUCCUGUGGGCCGUAUCCACAGACACUUGAAGACUCGCACCACAAGCCACGGACGGGUGGGUGCCACUGCUGCUGUGUACAGUGCUGCAAUUCUGGAGUACCUCACUGCUGAGACAGGUGUCUCACUACAUGCCUCAAGAUGGCCUGGAACUCACUGUGUAGCCCAGUUUGACCUCAAAUUCUCAAUCCUCCUGCCUCUGCCUCUCAGCUGCUGGAAUUACAGACUUGAGCCAUCAUGUCCAUCAAGGUCCUGGAACUAGCAGGAAAUGCUUCCAAGGAUCUCAAAGUAAAGCGUAUCACUCCCCGUCACUUACAGCUUGCAAUCCGUGGUGACGAAGAGCUGGAUUCUCUCAUCAAGGCUACCAUAGCUGGGGGUGGUGUGAUCCCUCACAUCCACAAAUCUCUAAUUGGAAAGAAGGGACAGCAGAAAACUGCUUAGAGGGUUGUUUAGCCCUUUUCCUCCCCAUCACUGUACUGUAACUGGGACAGAAAAUAACAGUGGAGAUGUGUGGAAUUUUUUUAAAUAGCUAAAAAGAAAAGCAUCGACAAUUACCAUAGACACAAUAGAAAAAACAUUUGUACAUUCUUAGACUCAAAGUUUGGUAAAAGAACCUUUUCACAUCGUGAUAGUUGUAUAUAGAUUGGCCAGGUUUCUUCUAUGUGUUUUAUACCAAAAUGGAAUUGAUAAACCAUUUUUUACAAAACUAAUUUGUCUCCAAACUGUUCUGUUCAUGAUGUAUUAGAAAUAUUUUGCUCAGACUUGAAGUAUUUUAAGUCUCAAGUUAGUUCCUCAGAAUAAUCCUAAAAUAAAUUAGGAAACUAGCUUUAACCUGAUUGAUAUCAUGUUCAGCUUUGAUGCUAUUACUUUGUAGUAAUGUCUAUAAGAAUAACUCUGAAUUAAUACCAUAAAUUAGGAGAUAACUCUCCAUUUAGAUUAUGGGAAAAUGUGCAUUUUAUACUGAAAAGGGAAAGUGGAAUUACUAGAAUCAUUUACUGAGCAUUUAGCAUAUGCCAAACCCUAAGCUAAGUGCUUUGCUGAUCAACAAAUAUUAAUUCCCCUCAUUUUAUGGAUCUGGAGCCAAGGUUCAUGGAAAUCAAAUGAUCUGUCAAAACCCAGCAGGCCUAGAGGAUGGGAAACAUCAGGGCAAGGAUACACGUGGACAGUGUCCUCCAAGGCUGCAAAUUUCUCUGCUUUGAGCCGUCCCAUGGUCUUUUAUUGAUACAAUAUGUCUUACAUUUAGUCUUUUCAAAAAUGGAAUAUUUCUUAGCCAAUUUCUAAGUAACUUAUGCGUUGAUUGCAGUUAAUGUAAUUCUUAGUGGUCUAUCAGAAAAUGCUGUUUUUCUUCCUGGAAGGUCUGUCAGAAAAUGCUGUUUUUCUUCCUGGAAGAAGAAACUAUUUAAAGAAGAAAUGGUUUAAAGAAGAAAUAGUUGAUAUUUUAUAGUAUAGCAGGAUAAAAACAAUUUUUAAAAAAUAUUUUAUUAUGGAAAUAUUCACAUGUACACAAAAAUAAAGAGACGUACUACAUGAAACAUUUAUCUAUUCCCCACAGUCAGCAGCUCUCCUGUGCUCUAUCUUCUUUAUGUGUCCUUUACUGCUCUCAGCUGAGUAGUAGUAGUUUGAGACAUAAUCCUCUCAUAUCUGCAUACUUUAGAGACUUAAUGAAAUGUAUCCAUACAUGUGUCACGUUUUGUUGUCCUGGUCAUGGGGCCUGGGUGCUGUCCCUGAGCUCUCUUGCUCAAGGCUCAUACUACACUACCACUUUGGUUUU